UCGCAUACGGUGCUGCUUGGUCGUGGGACCAGGCAAGAUGUUGGCAUAGCUGAACGAAGCUUCGGAUUCAGCCGUGCUACAUAAGGCCAUGCUCCCGCGCCGCCAUACAAUGCUCAACUUCA
rnacentral:precursor_RNA from 9 species